UAAAGCGUCACAAAUCAAUUCAUACCGAAAUUAACCUUUGGAAAAAUACCUAACGUGUGUAAGAAACAAUUUCGUUAAAAUCUAAUUUGACAUCACGCACGUGGACUUGUACCUGUUAGAAUCUUUAUAGGUAAGUGUAACGUUUGUAAAAAAAACAUUUUUUCGAUUGUUCAGUGUAAAGUAUCAUAAGUCAAUUCAUACUGGAGUUAUGCAAUAAAUUAUUUAUACAGAUUAUCUGGCUGUAAAACAAUCGUAAUAUGUGUAAUAAUGCGGAGAAACUCUAGACGUUCUUUGUGAAUUUUAGAAAAAAUAAAUACAAACUGUUUAUUACGCCAUGACAUUUAUAGCAACGUCCCACUAUGAAAUUAUAUAUAUAUAUAUUUUUUAAAUAUUUCCAUAUUUUGUUAAAAGGUACAGGUAUCAAAUGAUACACAGAGUUUCGUUACUUAUUUAAAAAUAAUAUAAUAUAUUUGUUCAUAUGGAUUUUUGUUCAUACGAGUUUAAAAUGCAUACAAUUUACUUAAAUAAUAUUUUAAAACUUCGUUUUUCGACGGCAAUAUUGCCGUCAUAUACACACCGUUGAACUAUAAAAACGCAUUACUUUAGAACAAAUAAUAAUAGUAAAAACCUCGCCGGGCCUUUACCGUCAAUCCAAUAUCUUAAUGUAUUUUACGCUACAUUUGUUUUAUUAUUGGAUGUUUAUAGACCUGUGGAUUAUCUUUGCUUCGGUAACUCCCCGCGAAACGAGUUCUAAAACGAGUAACGGCCCGAACUGAUGAAUUAUUUAUAUACCCAGUGACUUUGCUUUUUGAGACAAACAAAAUUUGUCUACUUGCUUUUCGGUGCGGAAUCAGUACAGUAUAAACAGGUGCAAAGUACAUUAAGGAUAAAAGAACCGUAUGCAUUUUUCAUGAAGAAGGUACUCUGUUUUAUACAAUGUUUUAGCGUGACAACAAGUGUAGGUGUAUCAAAUUCAUAUAUAAAAGCCGGCCAAAAACAGAUCGAUGUAACUACCAAGUUUUUAGCAGGCGAAACAUUUAUGAUUGAACUUACGUUUUACGAUUAUUCACGUUGUUCAACAUAAACAAUAUUAUAUCUUCAAAGCGCAUUAUAUUAUGAACUGUAAUUUCAUUAAAUUUUAAUAAUAGUGUAAAAUAUACUUAAUAGGUAUGCAUGAAAGUUCUGGACCAGUUCGAAAUAAUUUUCGCAUAAACAACAAUUAUGAUCACUAUAUUCCCUAUAACAUAGUUUAGAAACAUUAAAACUUCACCUCAUCGCCCGCGAGCUAAUGGCCUCGUCGAACGAUUGAACAGAACUUUCAAAAAAGAGUUUGUAGAAGGUAAUUAAUAUUUAAG